rfam:Neotoma lepida isolate 417 scaffold_765, whole genome shotgun sequence.
GCAUUGGUGGUUCAAUGGUAGAAUUCUCGCCUCCCACGCGGGGGACCCGGGUUCGAUUCCCGGCCAAUGCA